ACUUGCUGUGUGAGAUAUACAUAAUUCUUUGAAUCUAGAUGAUUCACUUUUAAAGCUGACAAUUCCUUUAUUUCCUCUGCCCGCUUCAGGAUAAGUCUCGAGAAACGUCUGGAGUUCACAAGAGGAAACAUGUUCAGCGUAUAUAGGUAGGCAAAGUCACACAGCAUGGUGAGUGUUUCCUCGCAGUCGUCAGCGAAGGCAGUGAACAAUACACAAGCUCGCGACUAGGCAGAGGACCGUUUCAUCGUCGCCCGCUCCACCAAGACGGACUUCAUCACCACGUCCACCACCACGGUGCCUUACACAUGCAUCUCCGACCAUUGUUUGUAGGAGGCGCUUCACACGGGUGGCAUUUAGUCCCGUUCCCAACGCCGAUUCCGAUCCGACCUUAGACAGCUCGAUGGAUCCGCGAACCCACGCUAAAACAGAACACGAUCGCCAACCACGAGCCGCUGUCACUGUCUGGUCGAAUGUCUCCUCCACCUUCACCGUCACCUCGACCUCCACCAACAGCGCCACCACACUCCCCAUCCUCCUCUUCAGCUCAACAACGGGGUCAUUUGUUCACCCGAUUUGUUAAGGCCUGAUUUGUAAACAGUGGAUUUCAAUGAAACUUUUGUUUCGACACCGAUAAGUUGGUUUUCACUGUAGUGCGUGUGGAACAUCAACAAGGAUUGCUCGGUCUUCUUUUUAAACUCUCUAUGUAUAUGCACAUAAAUACAUAAAUACAUUUUGUUGAUUUCCUUGGCAACCUCAGGCGAUACUGUCUGUCCUUCAAAAACUGUUUAAGUUUAUGCUUUAUGUAUUUUAAUUUAUGAGCUUAUAUAAUUAAAGUUUAAUCAUAUUC